rnacentral:rRNA from 2 species
GGCUUUCGGGUCGUAAAACUCUGUUGUUAGGGAAGAACAAGUACGAGAGUAACUGCUCGUACCUUGACGGUACCUAACCAGAAAGCCACGGCUAACUACGUGCCAGCAGCCGCGGUAAUACGUAGGUGGCAAGCGUUAUCCGGAAUUAUUGGGCGUAAAGCGCGCGCAGGCGGUUUCUUAAGUCUGAUGUGAAAGCCCACGGCUCAACCGUGGAGGGUCAUUGGAAACUGGGGAACUUGAGUGCAGAAGAGAAAAGCGGAAUUCCACGUGUAGCGGUGAAAUGCGUAGAGAUGUGGAGGAACACCAGUGGCGAAGGCGGCUUUUUGGUCUGUAACUGACGCUGAGGCGCGAAAGCGUGGGGAGCAAACAGGAUUAGAUACCCUGGUAGUCCACGCCGUAAACGAUGAGUGCUAAGUGUUAGAGGGUUUCCGCCCUUUAGUGCUGCACKAACGCAUUAAGCACUCCGCC